rnacentral:misc_RNA from 1 species
GUGAAUCUCACCUGGAAAUGGUAUUUCGAGAUACCUAAAAUCUGAACCAAGGAAAGGACUACUUUUUUCAAAGCAUGGUCAUCUUCAAGUACAAGCCUUUACAUAUAUAGAAUGGGUUGGAUCUCUUGAUAAUAGAAGGUCAACAUCAAGCUAUUGCAUAUUUGUUUGAGGUAAUCUAGUUACCUAGAGAAGCAAAAAAAACAUAAUGUGACAGCAAGAUCAAGUGCAGAAGCAAGAGAAUAGAGCUAUGACACAAGCAUCUGUGAAUUGUUGCGAUUGAAGAAAUUGACGGAAGAGUUCAAGUUGUCAGAAACGAAUGUUUAUCCUUGUGUUUUGUGACAACAAGGCUGCUAUUA